CCUAGAGACAGAGACUAGAGAACAGAGAGACUAACUACAGGUCAAAUCCAGCCUAGAGAGCAGAGAGACUAACUACAGGUCAAAUCCAGCCUAGAGAGCAGAGAGACUAACUACAGGUCAAAUACAGCCUAGAGAGCAGAGAGACUAACUACAGGUCAAAUACAGCCUAGAGCAGAGAGACUAACUACAGGUCAAAUACAGCCUAGAGCAGAGAGACUAACUACAGGUCAAAUACAGCCUAGAGAGCAGAGAGACUAACUACAGGUCAAAUACAGCCUAGAGAGCAGAGAGACUAACUACAGGUCAAAUACAGCCUAGAGCAGAGAGACUAACUACAGGUCAAAUACAGCCUAGAGAGCAGAGAGACUAACUACAGGUCAAAUACAGCCUAGAGCAGAGAGACUAACUACAGGUCAAAUACAGCCUAGAGCAGAGACUAACUACAGGUCAAAUCCAGCCUAGAGAGCAGAGAGACUAACUACAGGUCAAAUACAGCCUAGAGAGCAGAGAGACUAACUACAGGUCAAAUACAGCCUAGAGAGCAGAGAGACUAACUACAGGUCAAAUACAGCCUAGAGAGCAGAGAGACUAACUACAGGUCAAAUACAGCCUAGAGAGCAGAGAGACUAACUACAGGUCAAAUACAGCCUAGAGAGCAGAGAGACUAACUACAGGUCAAAUACAGCCUAGAGAGCAGAGAGACUAACUACAGGUCAAAUACAGCCUAGAGAGCAGAGAGACUAACUACAGGUCAAAUACAGCCUAGAGCAGAGAGACUAACUACAGGUCAAAUACAGCCUAGAGAGCAGAGAGACUAACUACAGGUCAAAUACAGCCUAGAGAGCAGAGAGACUAACUACAGGUCAAAUACAGCCUAGAGCAGAGAGACUAACUACAGGUCAAAUACAGCCUAGAGCAGAGAGACUAACUACAGGUCAAAUACAGCCUAGAGAGCAGAGAGACUAACUACAGGUCAAAUACAGCCUAGAGAGCAGAGAGACUAACUACAGGUCAAAUACAGCCUAGAGAGCAGAGAGACUAACUACAGGUCAAAUACAGCCUAGAGAGCAGAGAGACUAACUACAGGUCAAAUACAGCCUAGAGAGCAGAGAGACUAACUACAGGUCAAAUACAGCCUAGAGAGCAGAGAGACUAACUACAGGUCAAAUACAGCCUAGAGAGCAGAGAGACUAACUACAGGUCAAAUACAGCCUAGAGAGCAGAGAGACUAACUACAGGUCAAAUACAGCCUAGAGAGCAGAGAGACUAACUACAGGUCAAAUACAGCCUAGAGAGCAGAGAGACUAACUACAGGUCAAAUCCAGCCUUGGCGUAGGCUAACAACUUGAUUUACAGCUCACCUUUUUUGUUAUACACUAAGUCAGGGUUCCCCAACUGGCAGCCCGCAGUUCAAUUUAUUCCCCCCCACAAGUUUUCUGAGCAAGAAAAAGGGACAUAAGACUAAAAACACCAGCAAAAUCAGCUAAAUUAACUUUAGAUCUUUUCCAAAGAAUUUCCACACAUAAUAAAGAGAUAUGUAAUCAUAGGCAAAUGUAAGCAAGGUUUGAAAUGACUAUUUUAGUCAAAUGAGAUCUGUUUGGGCUUCUUGCAGUCAAUUUGCAUGUUUACAGUAAUUUGGUUCUGGCCCCCUGACCAUCUGCCUGCUGCUGGAUCUAGUUGAUGAUCCCUGCAGUAGGCUAUAUAAUUGAGCCUAACACAUUCUAUGCGGCCUCAUUUUCUGUGCGGGGAACAGCAUUAGGCCUAAUUCGAUACAGGCUACUGCUCCAUAGCCAAGUUGAUAGCCUACACUCUUUGUAACACUUAGGCUACUAUGUCAAAACAUCAAAGAAGCCACAGAAAUGAAAACUCUGAUAAUGUGGCAUAAGCUGCAUAAGGAUGCAUCCCAAAUGACAUUAUAUUAGGCCCUGCUCAAAAGUAGUGCACUAAAUGUUUAUGCAUUUAACCGUUAUUUAACUAGGCAAGUCAGUUAAAAACAAAUUCUUAUUUACAAUGACAGCCUACACUGACCAAACCGGGACAGCGCUGGACCAAUUGUGUGUCGCCCUAUGGGACUCCCAAUCACAGCCGGUUGUGAUACAGCCUGGAAUCAAAUCAGAGUGUCGGUAGUGACGCCUCCAGCACCGAGAUGCAGUGCCUUGGACCGCUGCACCACUCGGGAGCCCAAAUAUAGGGAAUAGGGUGCCAUUUGGGACGUAGUCUAAACUAAGCCUGGAUAUGGUAACACUGAUCUGGGUAGUAGUGAUGUAAUGGUGCAUCUGCUGGGCUGGACAUCUGGUGUAUGGUUUAGUACACUGCCAUUUCCUCCAUGGGAGAGAGGAUAGGGAGGGCUGCUUCACUACCCUGAGAAUGCAUAGGAAAAUAUACAGAACGCAUAACAAGUUUAAGAGCGCAUGGACGUGUGACGCCAAAGUGUCGUCAGCAUCGUACUGGGCUCUUAAGGUAAUACGGAGAGGACAUCAUCCUAAUUCUAUCUUUUACAUAAACCGAGUGAUUUGAGAGAGAGAAUAAUCCAGUGGUAAUCUCAGGGACUGUCUUUAAUCAGGGUGGAUAGCAACCACUCACAGAGGGUCUGAAAUACCAAGAUUAUCAUGGUGAAAAGAAAGCAAGCCAUACAACAGCAGGUUAACUCAAUGAAGAUCAUGCUAACAGUGAGCUGAGAUUCACGCUCUUUCCAUUGCUACAGCCUGAAACCAUAGACCGCCUAUAGGCUCUCCUUUUGCUCAGGUCUGGUGCCAUGUUCAGAAUUUGUGCCGUGCCUGUGUGAUUUCUCUCCUUUGAUCUGAAAUAGCCUACUGGUGGAAGAGACAUGCAUAGGUCCUAAGUAAGCAUUUCGUUGGACAGUGUAUACCAUGUGUAUCCUGUACAUACGACUAAUACAACUUAUCCAGAGCCCAUAUUUAUGAAGUGUCUGAUCUAGGAUCAGAUCCUACCUGUCCAUAAUAAUUUGAUUCAUUAUGAUCUGAAAGGCUAAACUGAUCCUAGAUCAACACUCCUACUUUGAGACACUUGAUAAAUACAGGCUCAGAUCUCAGGUUCCGAAGAUCAGCACCAUUCCAUCCUUCUCAAUAUUACUGUAAUUAAAGUCCCUCCUCGCUCCCCUUCCUUACACCAAUCAUUGCCCCAAUUCUCUACCCCUGCCCCCCUGAUGCCAAUCUCCAGAUGAAUUAGUGAGAUUUCAUGAUGGCCUCCUCUAGUAUAGAUUAUGUUAUGCAAUCUGCCAUUUCAAAUCUACAAUAGUAACAAUCCCACACAAACACACAAUAUUCCCACACACGCACGUGAGAGAGAAACACACACAUCAUCAAUGCAUAUAGACCGAAAUCAGAUCAAGCUUGAGUAGGCUACGUGGAAGCGAUAAGUGGUGACUUCACACACAGCAGGCUACUUUCUCAGGUUGAACAUAUAAACGAUGUGGACUGUCUUUACAGCAGGCCAAUGAGAUGCUCCAGUCCAAAACAAUGGCAUCAUAGUAUUCCCUACAUAGCCCUGCGGGCCCUGGUCAAAAGUAGUGCACUAUAUAGUAAAUAGGGUGCCAUUUAGGACCCACACCUGGUGAGAGGUGAAUCAUUCAGAGAACAUAACACCCAUUAGAACUACCUGGAGCUGAAACUAUGUCUGGCAUGCCAUCGUUACGCAGUACAGUAACGUAUCUUUAACGAACAUGGUGAGGAAUCCAAUAUGUAGACUAGCCUGAACAUCUUCCCUAAUCAUACAUCUUAGCUAACAGGCAAGAGACAUAAGGCCCAUCUAAAUGCCAAAACAUGUGUAGACCUACACAUUUCAGUUUACCUGAAAUCUGGAAAACAAAACGUAUGAACUCCAGCUGAAGCCUUGUUGCACACAUCACAGCAGAGGCUAAGGACAGUGUUAUGUCAUUGGCCUAGUUGUGCAACCACAGUGAACCAGUUCAACAAAGACUGACACACAGUCACUCAUGACUAUAGGCUACAUGCUGACUCUCACACAGAUAGGCUGAUAUAUUCACCUUGGCUGUGGAAAGAACUCUCUCCUCUACUAGCAAGGAUGUCAUCUGAGGGUAUCGGCCAGGGACUUGUCAUCUGAUUCCAUUUUUCUAAUGUGGCGUAAUGUGGUUUGGGGGAACCAAUAUAACUAAAUAACUGUUCUUAUAGGCUGGGGUAAUAGUCUACUAGUGUUGUUUGAAUAGGCCAACACUAUCCAAGUCACAGGAACCCAUUGCCAUAGGCUAGCCUACAUCCACAUGACAUCACAGGUGUUAGCCUACAUUAUGAUUUGCCAUUGGCUCUGUUUAUUUAGCAAGUAAGCUAUCAUUUUAACUGAACAGCUGUCUUAC